GAUGAACGCUGGCGGCGUGCUUAACACAUGCAAGUCGAACGAUGAAGCCCAGCUUGCUGGGUGGAUUAGUGGCGAACGGGUGAGUAACACGUGAGUAACCUGCCCUUAACUCUGGGAUAAGCCUGGGAAACUGGGUCUAAUACCGGAUAGGAGCGCCUACCGCAUGGUGGGUGUUGGAAAGAUUUAUCGGUUUUGGAUGGACUCGCGGCUUAUCAGCUUGUUGGUGAGGUAAUGGCUCACCAAGGCGACGACGGGUAGCCGGCCUGAGAGGGUGACCGGCCACACUGGGACUGAGACACGGCCCAGACUCCUACGGGAGGCAGCGGUGGGGAAUAUUGCACAGUGGGCGAAAGCCUGAUGCAGCGACGCCGCGUGAGGGAUGACGGCCUUCGGGUUGUAAACCUCUUUCAGUAGGGAAGAAGCGAAAGUGACGGUACCUGCAGAAGAAGCACCGGCUAACUACGUG
rnacentral:rRNA from 1 species